rnacentral:other from 1 species
CCCUUCCUGCUUGGUGCGUGAUGUGUCCUUUUGGACCCACAUUUAUUUUAAGGGAUGUUAGUUUCCCGGUUGGAUUGCAGACCUCCCGCCUACGCUUUGACGAUAGGUGGACGUUGGGAGCAGCUAAAACCCGGAGCGGCAACCCACCUGCCUAUGCGUGCAGGUCAUAAUCGGAUGCACACGGCCAAAGCGGGAUUCGU